UACGUAGGUGGCAAGCGUUGUCCGGAUUUACUGGGCGUAAAGAGCGCGCAGGCGGUCGGAUAAGUCGAAUGUGAAAGCCCCCGGCUCAACUGGGGAGGGUCAUUCGAUACUGUUCGACUCGAAGGCAGGAGAGGGAAGUGGAAUUCCCGGUGUAGUGGUGAAAUUCGUAGAUAUUGGGAAGAACACCGAUGGCGAAGGCAGCCAUCUGGACCGACACUGACGCUGAGGCGCGAAAGCGUGGGGAGCAAACAGG
rnacentral:rRNA from 1 species